rnacentral:rRNA from 1 species
UACGUAGGGUGCAAGCGUUAAUCGGAAUUACUGGGCGUAAAGCGUGCGCAGGCGGUGAUGUAAGACAGAUGUGAAAUCCCCGGGCUCAACCUGGGAACUGCAUUUGUGACUGCAUCGCUGGAGUGCGGCAGAGGGGGAUGGAAUUCCGCGUGUAGCAGUGAAAUGCGUAGAUAUGCGGAGGAACACCGAUGGCGAAGGCAAUCCCCUGGGCCUGCACUGACGCUCGUGCACGAAAGCGUGGGGAGCAAACAGG